UCCGAGGUAGCUCAGCGGUAGAGCAGACGACUGUUAAUCGUCUUGUCCCUGGUUCGAUCCCAGGUCUCGGAGC
rnacentral:tRNA from 1 species